CAAUAGCGUAUAUUAAAGUUGUUGCAGUUAAAAAGCUCGUAGUUGGAUUUCUGGUGGGAGCGAUCGGUCUGGCGCUUAGCGCGAGUACUUGCAUCGUCUCCGGCCAUCCUUGGGGAAAGUCUGUCUGGCAUUAAGUUGUCGGGCAGAGGAUCCUCAUCGUUUACUGUGAAAAAAUUAGAGUGUUCAAAGCAGGCUUAUGCCGUUGAAUAUAUUAGCAUGGAAUAAUAAGAUAGGACUUUGGUACUAUUUUGUUGGUUUGCGCACCAAAGUAAUGAUUAAUAGGGACAGUUGGGGGUAUUCGUAUUCCGUUGUCAGAGGUGAAAUUCUUGGAUUUACGGAAGACGAACUACUGCGAAAGCAUUUACCAAGGAUGUUCUCAUUAA
rnacentral:rRNA from 1 species